rnacentral:rRNA from 1 species
UACAGAGGAUGCAAGCGUUAUCCGGAAUGAUUGGGCGUAAAGCGUCUGUAGGUGGCUUUUUAAGUCCGCCGUCAAAUCCCAGGGCUCAACCCUGGACAGGCGGUGGAAACUACAUGGCUAGAGUGCGUUCGGGGCAGAGGGAAUUCCUGGUGUAGCGGUGAAAUGCGCAGAUAUCAGGAAGAACACCCGUGGCUAAGGCGGCUCUCUAGUACGGUACUGACGCUGAGACGCGAAAGCGUGGGGAGCGAACAGG